rnacentral:lncRNA from 1 species
AUCGAACCCAGUGCCCCGUGCAUGCCAGGCGAGCGUAUUACCUCUUGAGCUACAUCCCCAGGUCAAGGGUUAUCAUUUGUGUACUAGUUCUGGUUCCCUUUCGAGCAUAAACUCUUCAAGAGCAAGGACUGUUUUACUUGCUUUUGUCUCACCUCAGCAUUUGUAUUUACUGGAACAUAGUAAAUGUUCAACAAUUAUUUGUAAAGCAAAUUAACCACUCCUGAGGAUUAUGUUAGGCUUAAAAAUAAAACUCAACAUGUUAUUCUCUCUAUCCUCUUAUCUUCUGGCAAAGAGCGCUUAGAUAAAUAGAUAUCUAAAUUAUCUUUAAAGCCUUCCUGGGAAGGAAAAUCUACAUUAAGAAAGCUAGCAGAGUACAGUUGCAGUCCUGCAGAUGACACUUGAAAAUUGACUGAGACUUUUGCUUUGCUUCCUAAUGCAAUAAAUGCUUAAAAGUUGAAGCCAUGCUGAUGUUUGCUACUAAGUCAGCUGAAUCCUGGCGAGAAGGAAAACUAUUCACCACUCCUAUUGGCAGUCCCAAAGCUGCUAUGCUUAAGUCAGGGCCUGUGUUUUAUGAGUUUAAAUGUCAGAGCUGGUUAGGAGACAGGAAAUGUGAUAACACAGUAUGAACUUAAACCUUCCAGGAAGGGUUCAGGAACUCAAUACUGAACUUUAAGUACUGAACCCUUAUUGCAUGCCAGAUACCCUGUGCAUCAACUUGUUCUCCCAUUUUACAGAUAAAAACUUGAAAUUCAGAGAGGUCAUCUGAAGCACUCAAGGUCAAAUAGCUAGUGAGGGCUAGGUUAGGACUCCAAAGCAGCCAGGCUCCUAAGUAUCUCUGCCCAGAGUGCUUUGUGAGUGUCCAUAGGCAUGUUUGGGUUGUGUGUCCAGGAUCAAGAAGUCUCAGGUCCUUCCUUUUCCUUUUCCCUUUAUUCUUACACAGAGAGACAACACCCUUUUCUGCUGCCUGCAGCUUGGAGUGUUUUCACUUGGCUUACAUUUUGCCCUUGCUUUCAGCCAGGGUCCCUAGCCCAUGAUUUUAUUCUAUGCUCUUUAAUCCACAGGGGUCAUCAGUCAUCUCCUCAAUAAAAUUGCACUCUUUCAUCAGUGACCUCCUGAGACCUGACUUCUAAAACAUGUUUUCUUUAACUGAAUACAGUCUCACCUAUGGGGAUUAAGGUUCAGGGAUUGAUAUGGUUUGAAUAUGUCCUCCCCAAAAUUCAAGUGUUGCCAAUGUAGUAAUAUUUAAAAAAAUAAAAAACAAAAACCAGGACAUUUAAGAGGUGAUCAGGCCAUCAGGUCUCCAUCCUGAGAAUGUGAUUAGGUGCUCCUACCAAAGGGUUUGACCCUUUUGUCUUAUGCCACUGAGGAUACAGCUUUCUUCCCCUUCAGAGAACACAGCAUCCAAGUUGCCAUCUUGGAAGCAGAUUCUGGUUCUCACCAGACACAGAGACUGUUGGCACCUUGAUCUUGGACUUCCCAGCCUCCAGAACUGAGAGAAGUAAAUUUUUUUCCUUUAUAAGUUAUCCAGUCUGUGGUAUUCUGUUACAGCAGCAUAAACAAACUAGUACAAUAGCAGUUGUUUCAAAUAGUUGCUUUCAAAAUUAUACUAUUUUCUUUUUUUCUUGGAAGUGAAGCUCUUUUUCAAAUUCCACUUUUAAAGUUUAAUAUUCUUUUACUCUAGAUGUGUCCCCUUUCCCCUUAUUAUUUCAUAUAUUUUGUCUGUGGCACAAAGCUGACAUUCUUUUCCUCUCUUAAUACAAGUCAUAAUAGCAUCUAAUUAACACCCCAGCUAUCCUCAGGCAGUGGUGGAAACCUUUCCAUCUGGUGUCCUAUUAUAGCUGCCUCCCCUUUUGCUCAUCUAUGUUCCUCUUAGCUUUAUUUUGUGCCCUUCGAAUCAUCUUCCUAAAACACAAAAUUCCACGUUGGCCAAAAAUUAGUUUAGAAAAUAGAUGAUGCUCUGUCUUCAACUCUAAAGUCCUGCCAUCCCUCUUAUCCAGAGCUGACACAGUUAAACAUCAAGCAGUACCAUAUGCUCCCGGCUGGGGAGACCUGGGUUUCAUCAUUCCCUCUAAAAGGUAGGUUAGUUUCCCCAGCUUCUUUAUUUUUCCAUUAAAAAAGGGAACUUUAUCUAGGUUCAAAGGGAAUUCAGACUUCUGCAUUUGGAAGGGGGCAAUAAUUGAAUGAUAGAUGCCUUUCUUUUUUUUAACCAAUUGAGGGAAGUUGUGGAAAUUGAGACUAUCUUUUCUGAGUUUAUUGUGCAUUUUAUGUAUUUUAAAAUAUUAAUUAAAUAUUUUAAUGUAUGUGUGGGUAGUUAAAUAUGACCAGAGAUUUUAAGCCCCUCUCACUAAGAGGCAAAAUCUAUUUUUUCUAUCCUUUGAAUCUGUGUUAGCCUUGUGACUUUCUUUGAACAAUAUGUGCCUAAAUUGACCCCCUGUGAGUUCAGGGACCCAGAUCUUAAAAGAAUCUAUAGCUUCUGCUUUUGUUUAUUGAAAUUCUGUCCUGAAUAUGCUACACAGGAAGCCAGUGCGAGGCUGAGAGGCCACCUGGAGAACCAAGCUGCUCCAGCUGACACGCAGCACCAACUGCCAGCCAUGAGUGAGACCAUUUUAGAUCUUCCAGCUCAGUUAAGCUCCAGCUGAAAGCAACCCGCACACAUGAGCCCUGGUGAGACCAGCAGGACAAACACCCAGCCAGCGCACCCAUAUUGUGAGAAAUAAUAAAUCAUUUUGUUUUAAGCCAUUGUCUUAGGGUUGGUUUGUUCUGCAGAAUAGAUAAGUGAAAUAAUGUGACAUCCCCAAAUCACUGUGUCUCCCUGUAUGUGUAAGUCCAUCUAUUUGCAUUUAAAAGAAAAAGUAGUUUCUUGGAGCUUAAAGCAAUUACUUUCUUUGAAUGUUCCACAUAGACAGGGUGCAGAAUAGAAAUGGACUUUUUAAGGAGAUAAAUAGGGCACAGUCUGGAAAUUUGCAAUAGGCAUAUUAGGCAAGUAAAAUGCCCACAUAUCAAAAGCAUCUGCUGCCUCUUUUAGUACCUAACCAGUGGGUGAAAAGUAUGCAUCUUAAAUCACUUUUAUUAUGAAAUAUUUUCAGCAUACACAAAGAAUAGAAAAUAAAUAUCAAGUGACAGCAUACCACUGCCUAGAUAAGGAAAGAAUAUUAUAGAUACAAUGGAAGCCCCUCCUCGAACACAUUUCCUUCCUUCCCAAAGGGAACCUCUAUCCCUAGAUGGUAUUCCCAUGCAUAUCUAUGUUUAAUAUAUAGUUUUGCAGCUUUACAAUUUUAUGUGAAGUGAAUCAUCUGUAUGUACCAACAUUUUGCUUUUUUUUUUUCUCUCAGUAUCAGAUUUUUGAGGUUUAUCCAUGUUGGUGCAGGAGGAAAAACACUGGAAUCUGCUCUUGGGAAAGUGAAAUGCUCACCCUCUGGGAAUCAAUCACAGGAAUCAGGAUCAUCCAAGGGAACAAUGGAAUCAUUAUGACCCAUUUCACACUCAUUCCAGAGCAGACACAAAGUCAGCUUCCCCUUAUCUCUCUCUCCCCUCCCCUUCUCUCUCCCCCUUCCUUAAAUGUGUGCACAUGAGCUCAUUAUACUGUAAUGCUGUCUUACAUUACAAAGCAGAAGUCAGAGUCUAUAUUGUAUAGCUCAGUAUUGUCCAACUGAAAUGUAAUGUGAGUCAUAUGUAUAAUUUUAAAUGUCCUAUUCUAAAAAGUUUUGUCAUGUUCUAAAAAGUGAAAAGAAAUAGAUAAAUGAACUUUUAUAUUUUUCAUUUGACCCAAUAUGUCUAAAAUAUUAUCCAUAUGUAUUACACAUUCAACAUGUAAUCAGUAUAAAAUUAUUAAUGAGAUUGUUUAUUUUUUCAUUUGAAGUAUUCAAAAUCUGAUAUGUAUCUUACUGUUAUUAUCCUCAAGUUAAUUUGGAUUAAUUGCACGUCAAGAGCUCAGUAGUCUCAGGUGACUGAUAGCUACAAUUUUAGCACAGAGGGCCUUAAAAAUCUAACCUGAAAACACACACUGCGCAGUCCUUGACAUUCCAGUCUUCUCAUUGGUAAUUGAACAUUGUGAGGAGUUCGACUCUCCUAUGAGACUAGAAGGGUCUGUGCAGAGGGGUGUCCAGGGCUAUUGGGAUGGUUUAACUGAAGCAGCACCUGCUGGGUUGGCCAGUCUGGCAGGAGGCUCCAGUACCAUCAGCCUUUACAUAAUCUAGGGAAGGUCACUUAACGUUCUAAGCUCUGUGGGACUCAGUUUUUCUCUAUAUGAAAGUGAGGGUGAGCCCCUGUGGCGCUGACUAUAUUGCUGGUUCCAUCUUCCAUUGCCAAUCUGACUUGGGGUUAAGGAUAGUGGCUGGUGUUCCACCGAGGGAUGAGCUGCUAUUUAUCUUCCUAACAUAGAGAACCAGAGAGCCUUUCAUUGGAAACAGACUCCUAUAAGAUCCCAGGGAGCCUUAGUGUAAACCUUUGUUCUUUGAAGAGGACCUUGACUCUGCCCAAGGCCAGACUGGCACCAUAGAAGUCCACAGUCAGAAAGAACCACAAACCAACUCCCCUGGGUGGCAUGGUCUAGGCAGCGCUUUAUUUAGAUAAUCCACAUAGAGAUGCCACAGUUUGGUCUGGACAUAUGAUUAUAUGGUUUUCAUGCCACGUAGCCUUAAAGGAAAUCAAGAGUGCUGACAAAACCCUGGUUUACACCAAAUUCACUGUGCCCUGACUCAGUUUCCCUUUUUAUCAACAAGGUAGUAUAAUUAGUACUUAUGAUGUAGGUAUAAUGAUUCUAUCCUGGUUCCCAAGUCCCUUCUUAAAGAAACACAAAACUCUAAGGAAAGCUUUCUUCCUAACACAACAGUCAGGAGGGGCCACUUGUCAGGGCAUUCAGGUCCUAGGAUCCUGGCAAAUUGUCAUUGGAAAUAAACCUGAAUUAAUAUGGUCCUAUAACUCCUUGUAUUAUCUUUUUAAAUAGACACAUACCACCUAAUGACCUCCUUUCCUGAUGGGCAUGGUGGUAUGCAUCUGCAGUCCCAGCAAAUCCAAGGCUGAGGCAGGAGGAUCACUCGAGCCCAGGAAUGUGGGGCCAGCCUGGGGAACAUAGCAAGACCCUGUCUCUUAAAACAAACAAACAAAAUACAAAAGUUAGUUUCUUUCUGAGAGCUCUGGAAUAUUUUUGGUUUGAUUCUUCAGUGUCGUAAGAUUUAUUUUCAGGUGUUACUUUUAAUUUCAAAAGCGAUUUAUAACUCGAUUUAAUUUUAAAAGUUUCAUAAACACACGUGCACGCACACACACACACCCCUAGAACAAAUUCAUAUACUACAAAAGGGUAUUUAAUAAAAAGUAAAUGUCUACUUCAUUCUAGCCAAACAUCAACACGUUCCCAGUUUGCUGUGUAUCAUUUUAGAGCUAUUCUAUGCAUAAAACAUGUAUUUUCAGACUUUAUUUUUUUUAAAAAAAGAUGUGCUGUUUAAUUUUAAAGCUACUUUAACUCAAGACAAGGUAAAAAGGUAAGGAACUGUGGAUUAAAAAAGAAAAGGGCCUGGGGUAUAAUUGUUUUAAAUGAUGUGUUGAUGUGUUGAGUUUAAAAAUAUUUUGAUGCGUUCCAAUGCAUGGAAAACAAGAUGCUGUGAAUCAUUGUCUUGAAUAAACUGUCCAAUAUGAUUAUAUAGUUUUGUGUUCACCACGGCAGGGUCACCUUAACAAGUUUACAUAAUAAUAAACAGAAAACAGAAAGCUACCCAAUAAACCGAAGAAAGUGGAGAGGGACAGGGAGGAGCAGAAAGCUGAC